AUGAACGCUGGCGGCGUGCCUAAUACAUGCACGUCGAGCGAACAGACGAGGAGCUUGCUCCUCUGACGUUAGCGGCGGACGGGUGAGUAACACGUGGAUAACCUACCUAUAAGACUGGGAUAACUUCGGGAAACCGGAGCUAAUACCGGAUAAUAUAUUGAACCGCAUGGUUCAAUAGUGAAAGACGGUUUUGCUGUCACUUAUAGAUGGAUCCGCGCCGCAUUAGCUAGUUGGUAAGGUAACGGCUUACCAAGGCAACGAUGCGUAGCCGACCUGAGAGGGUGAUCGGCCACAAUGGAACUGAGACAAGGGCCAGACUCCUAAGGGAGGCAGCAGUAGGGAAUCUUCCGCAAUGGGCGAAAGCCUGACGGAGCAACGCCGCGUGAGGGAUGAAGGUCUUCGGAUCGUAAAACUCUGUUAUUAGGGAAGAAAAAAUGUGUAAGUAACUAUGCAAGUCUUGACGGGACCUAAUCAGAAAGCCACGGCUAAAUACGGG
rnacentral:rRNA from 1 species